AACGAACGCUGGCGGCGUGCUUAACACAUGCAAGUCGAACGCGAAAGGGACUUCGGUCCUGAGUAAAGUGGCGCACGGGUGAGUAACGCGUAGAUAACCUGUCUUCACGUCUGGAAUAAUACGCCGAAAGGGGUACUAAUACCGGAUAUUCUUGCUUUUCAUAAGUUUUGCAAGGAAAGGUGGCCUCUGAAUAUGCUACUGCGCGAAGAGGGGUCUGCGUACCAUUAGCUAGUAGGUGGGGUAAUGGCCUACCUAGGCUACGAUGGUUAGCGGGUCUGAGAGGAUGAUCCGCCACACUGGCACUGGAACACGGGCCAGACUCCUACGGGUGGCAG
rnacentral:rRNA from 1 species